rnacentral:rRNA from 1 species
AAUAUUGGACAAUGGGCGCAAGCCUGAUCCAGCCAUGCCGCGGUAGUGAAGACGGCCUGAGUGUAGUAACGCUCCUUCACCCGCGAAGAUGAUGACGGUAGCGGGAGAAGAAGCCCCGGCUCACUCCGUGCCAGGAGCCGCGGUAAUACGGAGGGGGCAAGCGUUGUUCGGAUUUACUGGGCGUAAAGGGCGCGUAGGCGGAUGUUCGCGUCAGAGGUGAAAGCCCCGGGCUCAACCUGGGAACUGCCUUUGAAACGGGACAUCUUGAGUUCGAAAGAGGAUAGCGGAAUUCCCAGUGUAGAGGUGAAAUUCGUAGAUAUUGGGAAGAACACCAGUAGCGAAGGCGGCUACCUGGUCCGACACUGACGCUGAGGCGCGAAAGCGUGGGGAGCAAACA